UACGUAGGGUGCAAGCGUUAAUCGGAAUUACUGGGCGUAAAGCGUGCGCAGGCGGUUGUGCAAGACAGAUGUGAAAUCCCCGGGCUUAACCUGGGAACUGCAUUUGUGACUGCACGGCUAGAGUGUGUCAGAGGGGGGUAGAAUUCCACGUGUAGCAGUGAAAUGCGUAGAUAUGUGGAGGAAUACCGAUGGCGAAGGGAGCCCCCUGGGAUAACACUGACGCUCAUGCACGAAAGCGUGGGGAGCAAACAGG
rnacentral:rRNA from 1 species